UAUGCCAGCCAAUUUAUACACCAGCCUUCAACAUUUUUGAUCAUUUAAAUUAUAUACAUACUACAUUUCUACGUCGCAUUUAUUGAAGAUUUUUGUAGCAAUCUGCAGACUUUUAUAUUUUUACUGCAGGCUAUUGUUUAAAUAGACCUGGCAUCACUGAUGCUGAAAUGAUUCAUUCAUAUAUCUGUCAAAAAUAUAGAGCAUCGUGUGAAAAUGUAUAACCUCACUUUUCUGACAGUUCGGUGUGCUUGUUUACCUAAGAUUUGUUUACACGGACUUUUAAAAUUUACAUUACUUGAAUACUUUCGAUGCUUUUUGAAAGAAUAUCAACUCAAGAGGGAUGAGGAUUGGAACAAUGGUAACCUGGUUCAUACAUUGACCAAUCGGCGCUGGAUGUAAAACCCGGUGGCAUAUGCUGAAUCGAAAGAUCAAGCAUUGGGCUAUAAAACGAUUGCUUUCUGGAUGAUGGAUAAGGAUUUGUACACAUUUGUGGUGAAGUUUACCUGAACUUUAUAGGUAACGAAUUCGGUCGAUGAUAAGUUGUUGAAAUGAUUUUCAUCGUUCAAUGCCCAUAUCGAAGAACGUUUCCAUUGGUCAGAAUGCCUACCAGCGUAUGAUAGCUGCAAACAUGAGGACAACAAGGUUAUCGCUUUCGAAUGGAACAAUCAUUUAUUAUUCGGUUUCAAGUUCCAUUAUAGUAAAAGUUUCGUCGAUUAUCGCAUUGUCGUUGAUUUAGCCGGAAAAUGCAAAAUAGCGCUCGACACUGACGACAAGAAGUAAGAAGGAUUUGAUUGGAGUGAUAAUAAUGCAGAGCAUUAUAUAUUCUGGUAGAAUAUCAGGGAGGAGAAAUUAUAUGUAAAUUUAUAUUAUAUCCCGAGUUGCAUUAAUUUUGGCACCGCAAUAAAGCUAUCUGCAACUGCUGUCUUGUUCAAA